AGGCCAGCCGGCAUCUCCUGAUAACCACUAUCAUAUUAGCCCAGCCCGUCAGGAGUAGGAGCAACAACACCAACUCAUCCACCAGCAAAAAAGCCGUAGCCUACAAUUGACAAAACAAGACACUACCCAUUCCAGACACAGAACAGGUGUUGAUUCCCCUUCUGACUGAAACUAUUUGAUGAAUCAAUGGAUCAACAAGAAAAUGAAAACACAGCUCUUAGCCAAGUCGCGGCUGGAAUCGCGCUUUCGCUGUUGGCUGCUUUUGUCGCCACCGUGUGGUGGUUCGACCGCCAGAGACGAACCAGCGAGAGUCCUACCAGACCGCGCAUGGAAGGGGACCGAUCAGUAUUCAAGGUGCCCCAGAGCCCGCCACCCAAGACACCAAAACCCUCCGUUUUUGAGCCAAUCUCAGAGCCUGAAGUCCAGGAAGCGGUGGGACAAUUUGAAGACACAGAGGAGGCAGAAGAGAACAUGGUUUCCUAGUUUAAAUGUAUUCCUGUUUUAUCUGUCCUGUAUUUUCUACAAAUAUUUUUUGAAGUUACAAAAGACAUUGUAUUGUGUUAAUUGUGGAACGCUUUUCUAUUAUUUCUUCUUCUUUACAUUUCCCUGUUACAGAAUCCUUUCAGAAAUAAUCUAGCCAAAGAGAAGUAGAAAACUAGAAGUUGUUGAAGCACCAUUUAAACAAAAUAAGAUUUUGCUUUAGAUAUCCAUAGAUUUGGACCCAGUUAGGCUAUUCAUGACAUUUAGUUGUCAUUAUUUAAAAAUACCUUAUAUUUUUGUAAUUAUUACAACUUAGUGACACAAUAAUAAAGGAAUACCAAUCUAA